CACAUGUACGAGCGCAAGCACGCCACCAGCAAGGAGGACCAGGCCGCCGCCGCCGCCGCUGCUGCAGACAAUGCCAGAGCCCAGGAGGAGAUCGCGGCGGCGCUGCUCGAGGACGGCGCGCUCGUGGCGAGGGGCGGCGGCGUCGAAGGGAGGGGCGGGGGAGGCAAUAAGGAGGACGCCAUGCACAUCGUGGGGGUGCACGCGCACGCCGCCGCGCACAGGCACAGCCAAGCGCACGGGCACAGCUCGUGCCAUGGAGGAGCGUCGUACGACAGCCACGGCCAUGGCCACGGUCACGGUGAAGAGCCGUCUCAAGCUCGCCACGCUGUUGUCGCACAGGUUCUCGAGCUUGGAAUUGUAUCGCACUCGGUGAUCAUUGGCCUAUCCUUGGGCGUUUCGCAGAGCCCAUGUACCAUCAGACCUCUGGUUGCUGCCCUGUCCUUCCACCAGUUCUUUGAGGGCUUUGCAUUGGGUGGCUGCAUUUGUGAGGCUCAGUUCAAGAGUUUCUCAGCAUUCCUUAUGGCCUUCUUCUUCGCCAUCACAACACCUGCUGGGAUCACUGUGGGAGCAGGCAUCGCGUCGUUCUACAACCCCAACAGCCCGAGGGCACUGGUGGUUGAGGGCAUCCUGAAUGCCAUGUCGGCCGGUAUACUGAUCUACAUGGCCUUGGUAGACCUCAUUGCUGCUGAUUUUCUCAGCAAGAGGAUGAGCUGCAACCCGAGGCUGCAGGUCGGUUCCUACAUUGCACUGUUCCUUGGUGCGAUGGCCAUGGCGUCUCUGGCCAUCUGGGCUUAGUUAGCAGGAUGGAAGCGAGGCAAAUGCUUGAAAGGAGCUGCUUAAUUGGCUUCCACAGCAGCAGGUCUGGUGAAUAUGGGUGUGAGCAAACAUUGUAUCCUUUUAACACUUUCUGGUCCACUUGCCAUUUCCAGAUAUCAAAUCUUGUAACUUGAAAACUUUUUUAGAAAUCAUAUCUAGAAGAGUAGAAGUUUUCAAAAUCUUGAGACGUUUAUCAUCAGUAGAGGAUCUUGUAUCACGAUUUCACACGAAAUUUCAACUCCAAAUGCAAUCCCAUUUGGGAGAUACAAACAUGGCAAAUGGAUGCACAUGUCUAAAAACUUGUCAUGUUGCGCAUCUGUGCACGUGAUUUGUCAUUUUUGUAUAUCCCAAAUGUGAUUGAUUGUGGACUUGAAUUUUUUUAAACACAACCUCACCUAUCGAUGUAAUUUUUAAGUACUUUUUUGAAAAAAAUUACAGAUAUAAUUUCUAAAAAAGUUUUCAAUUUUUCGACACUAGCCAGUUUUCACUGGAUAUGCACUAGUCGUGCAUGCAUCAACAAAGACUAGCUAAAAAUGCAAUGAAAGCAAGAUGUGUUCUUGUUUCAUCCAUCUGCCUGCUCCUGCUCCCAAAUAAUUUGUAGGGAUCAAGUCAAUGCCUACCGAUUGUCCAUGACGGGCCCAUGGACUUGUGAAGCUCGUUUGCCAACAAGGCGAAGAGGCAGGCAGUGCCAGCAGUGGUGCUAUCAUCUCUGUUCAUUGUUCACUGGACUGUCCAGGAAACCUGUGAGGCCGGAAGGGAGACUCAUUACCAGCUGCGCUCACCUUGCACGGGGAAGUCUGAUGAAUGUUUGAUCAGUUGCGACUUGCAAAUUUGCCGGAAGAAGUCUGUCUCUACAUCUGGAGGGAACUCAAACGCAAGUGGACCGUCAGGCAAUGGUUUCCGACGGAUAUUCGGAUAGAGACAGAAUAGGGAGAGCUCCAAUGGAAUACUAGACUCUUGACGAGCCUGAAGGCCCAGUGAGGCAGUGACAGUAUGAUACGACUGCCACUCGAUCAGCCCAUUCAUCCCAGUCAGGCAGACGAAUCUGGCGCGGUGCGCUCUACCAAUUGUGGCAAAUUUGUCAGACAACCAGAGGGUCUCUCUGCAGGGUUUCAGUGGUUGCUUGCCCGAGGAGGAAUCUGCGUUCCUGAUGCCCCAGUGUGCAGUAUCACUGUGCAGGGAAGCGGGAACGCGGAUGCCAGGCAUCAUGGGCGUCAAGCACUUGGGUGAGUCUCCAGGUCAGAGAUGGAUCUGGUUCUGAAAGAUUUAGACGUUGCCAUGGCGUUUGGUUCUGAAAAAUUAAAGAACCAGUAGAUGAAGGAAGCAUAGCUACUGCCUUUAUCAGCAACGCUUCUAGCAAUUGGAUGAGAAAACAAAUUGCCUUGGUUCACCAAAGUUUAUCAUCGUAAUUUGUAUUUUUGUAAGGCGCAGACAGUUCUGAUGGAGGUUGAGGGGGUGCUAUCAUGAACUUGGUUGCUCCUGCAAGCUGCUGGAGGUGAUGAUGACUGUAUGUCUUCGAGUAGAUGUGGGCUGCAGAGUAUCUACAAAUGUCACGUGAAGAUCAUUGGCAAUCUUUCCAAGCUCCCUGGAAAUCUGAAUCCUGCAAAGGCCUGGAGAGUAUGAUGUGUUGUUAUGUCAGUUACCAGCUUUCACCCGUGCUCCCGUGGGAACGCUACGAAGCUGUUUGAUGAAAAUGGGGCCUGUGAGUUUUCUUGGGGAUCGAGAUUCCUCUCUCCGUUUGGAGAUGAAUCCAACCUGAGUGCAUGAUCAGGUUUGCAUUGAGGUCCAACAGGUAAUGAACCUCAAGGAAUGGAUAGAGACACAAGUCAGGAGGAGGCAGUGACAGCAAAACGACAUGACGUGGCUUCCACCCAGGAGGCCAGGACAGAACGAAGAAUCUGGCACAACAUGGUGCGUGAAGGUCUACCGGUUGUGGCAACUUGCUGAGACAGAUCAGGGCAAACAAAUGGGCCUGCUCGCGUGUCAGAUGUUACCCGUGGAUCGGAGGAAUAUUCGCUCCCAGGCCCAGUGCACACCGUGGCAGCCUCUGUUUGGCUGAAGGAAACGUGGCAGCUCGCCUGGCCAUGAUGAGCACCAACGACCGUGGUCUGUGGAUGGAACCUAGAGGACUCGGGGUUACUGUCAGUUUCAGAGACGGACCCGGUGCCGGAAUCUCUCCACUGACCGUAUAUGCUGUGCAUAGCCAUAGAGGGAGCUGUUGCCAAGAUAUCGGUGCCAUGGAAUUUGUUUCCCUCGACCAUUUGGCCAUGUGGAUUGGAGGAAAUACAGACUCCAAACUUCAUGUCAACUGCUCGUUGCCGUCAUCACUAGUACGACAAUACCUACCUUCUUUGUUUAGGGCUUCUUUUGGAACGUAGGAUUUCCAAAACAUAGGAAUAAGAAAAAUAUAGGAUUGUAAUGCUCAUGCAAUUGAAAUCCUACAUGGAUCUAAAAUAUAGGAUGGAUAUAAAAUAUGUGUUUGGAUAAGGCAUGGAAAAAAUUGCCUGCAAAAAAAAAGGAAAAAUAUAGGAAUCCUAUGUACACAAAGGAAAGAAAACAUGAGGUUGGACCUCACGCUUAUUUU